rnacentral:rRNA from 1 species
GACGGAGGAUGCAAGCGUUAUCCGGAAUUAUUGGGCGUAAAGCGUCCGCAGGUGGCUGAGUAAGUCUUUUGUCAAAGCGCGAGGCUUAACUUCGUAAAGGCAGAGGAAACUGUUUAGCUAGAGAUUGGUAGGGGUAGAGGGAAUUCCCGGUGUAGCGGUGAAAUGCGUAGAUAUCGGGAAGAACACCAGUGGCGAAAGCGCUCUACUGGACCAAGACUGACACUGAGGGACGAAAGCUAGGGGAGCGAAAGGG